rnacentral:rRNA from 1 species
UACGAAGGGGGCUAGCGUUGCUCGGAAUCACUGGGCGUAAAGGGUGCGUAGGCGGGUCUUUAAGUCAGGGGUGAAAUCCUGGAGCUCAACUCCAGAACUGCCUUUGAUACUGAAGAUCUUGAGUUCGGGAGAGGUGAGUGGAACUGCGAGUGUAGAGGUGAAAUUCGUAGAUAUUCGCAAGAACACCAGUGGCGAUGGCGACUUUUUGGCCUGUAACUGACGCUGAGGCGCGAAAGCGUGGGGAGCAAACAGG